CAACAGUCCUUAGAACGUUGUUUCAUGCUUCUACUGUGCAUGGGGAGAGAAUAAGAGCAUAUGGAGUCAGAUGACUGAGAAAAUGACAUGAGCUCAAUUGCGCGUGCUCCCAUGAGAGUUAGGUGUGUUCCUUUUCCUUUCUGAAGACAAAGGAAUUGUCUGGUUGGAAUAUUAUGGAAGAUUUAUGAUAAAAACAUCCCAAAGAUUGAUUCUAUAUAUCGUUUGACGUUUCUACGAACUGUAAUAUAACUUUGACUUUUUGUCUGAACUUACUGCGCGAGCACAGUGCAUUUGGAUUACUCGACUGAACGCGUGAACAAAAAGGAGGUAUUUGGACAUAAAGGAUGGACUUUAUCAAACAAAACGUACAUGUAUUGUGUAACAUGAAGUCCUAUGAGUGUCAUCUGAUGAAGAUCAUCAAAGGGUUUGCAGAAUGUUGCGGUCACGGAGGGGAGGAAAGGGUGAAACACAGCGCUCUCUGGCCAACAGCAGAGGAAGAAGGUGGUUAGAAUCAGGUCUUUUGGCUCUGCUGAUCUUCCUCUGGGGAGGAAGGACGUUUCCAUGGCCAGAAAAUGAGGAAGAGGAAGAGACAUCUCUCCGGAAGAUAAAACAAACACUCCACCCUUGAGACCUCACAGUGUAACACCAUCUGAGACUGUUGUUCCUGUGCAACAUCUGAAACACACACUGUCUCUUCACACACAGAGACGGGAGAUCAGUUGGUGGGUGGAUGGCCUGUCUGUGUCUUACGAGGGCUCUAUUUCUCUGGGAGCCCACUGUAUAUCUGCGAGAAGUGAAAAAGAUAUGAGAGGGUGGAUACUGCAGCCAUGGGGUGACUGACAGUACCUGCCUGCGGAGGCACCCCAUGC
rnacentral:lncRNA from 1 species